rnacentral:rRNA from 1 species
UACGGAGGGUGCAAGCGUUAUCCGGAAUCACUGGGUUUAAAGGGUGCGUAGGCGGCCCAAUAAGUCAGUCGUGAAAUCGCUGGGCUCAACCCAUGCAAUUGCGAUUGAUACUGUUGGACUUGAAUUAGGUUGAGGCUGGCGGAAUGCGACAUGUAGCGGUGAAAUGCUUAGAUAUGUCGCAGAACACCGAUUGCGAAGGCAGCCAGCUGGGCCUUGAUUGACGCUGAGGCACGAAAGCGUGGGGAGCAAACAGG